CCAAUUGAACUAUCAAUCCCAUCAACAAAGCAAUCAAAGAAGCUUAAACACCAUUAUUGAUCUUCAUGAGCAAAUCAUAUGGCUUCCCUACUCAGCAGUCACUCCAUCCUUCACAGCAGCAAUAAGAUCAGCUCCUUUGAUGGUGUUAAGUCGGUGAGCAACAACAAAAUUGAAGCGUCCAGUGUACUUGUUGCCUCAUCGAGCAAAAGAAUUUUUGGAUUGUUUAUAGUAUUGCUCUGACAAUGGCUAUUCUCUGUUUCUGCUCACCAGAUAUCUUGAACCCCUCGUUCGUCGACCGAAGUUUUGUAGCCUUGGGAUCAUGCUUAAGUAGAGGAAUGAAUGGCUGAAGCAAUAGUUCCAACAAACAAAACUGGCAGCUCAGGCUUGUUUAGAUGGCUGAAGCAAUAUUCUAUUAUUAAGACCAAGAACUUUUGAUAUGAUGAAAAUGGAGUUGUCUUCUAAAGUGAUGGCUCCCACCAUUAACACAAUGUUGACAAAAUUCCCAUGCAUGAGGAAUAUUUGCAUGAGUUAUGGCCCAUAUUUUCAAAUGAUUAGUCCUAAGAGAGGAUCCUUUUUGUCACUAACAAGGACAUCCAUGAAAGAGAAAGGCAACUGUACUCUUGUUACCUGUCAACUUAAAGCAGCGUUCCCUGUUGCUUUGUUUCAUCAAACAUUCUGCUAUGCUUUUGAAAGUAAUAUGAAGCCAAUUAGCCGAACGAACCAUGCAGUUUUCUCUACUUCUUCACCAACGUUUUCAAUUCUUCAUUACUGUAAGUCCAUGAUUCAUGUGAAGCUAUGAGUUCUUUGUCCUUUGAUUUAUUACAAGUUUUCUUGCUGUUAGAUUUGCUACCUUUAGUAAAGAAAAAGUGUGUUCUUUUUUCCAUGGGGAAGGUUUCUUUUCUUUUCUUUUCUUUUUUGUUUCAGUGCUUUCUUUCAAGGAUGUUUAACGGAGUGAAGAUGGUGGUGGUAAAAAAGAUGAUAUGUGCAGUGCAGUAGAAGAAAAUGGAGAAAGGUUUCCGUGAGGUAGACGCGCGAGGAAGAUAACGAGAAAUAGAGAGGCGGGGGUGGUUCAUAUUCAGACAGACAACGAAAGACAUCGGCUCCAAGCUACUGCUUCUCAUGGUCUUCCUCUGAUGCUCGUGGAGUUCCCUGAAAGCUGGUUGCUCCCGAAAAGGUUCAAAGACAGUUAGUGAUGCAGUUGAAGAUUAAUCACCUUCCUGAACAUUCAACAUGAUAUUUACUUACUUUAAGGUCUGCAGAAUUUAUGAGUUGAUAUAGUUAAGAUGUGGAAUAGGGAAUGAAGCCAUCGGUCCGUGUAGCAUAGGGUAAAUGUAUAAUAUUUGACAGUUGCUGUAAAUUAUUUUGUGUUUUCUGAAAUGUUUAGCUGAUGUAAACAAUGUCUUAAUCAUACUUUUGUUCCCUGAUUUUUUGUCAUUAUCUAUUAAAACGUCCGCCUUCUCUCUCUC